AUGUCGUCUUGCAACACCCCCCGUGAGAAUACCACGACAUUUGGCGCCCACCGUGGGGUGGUACUAUUACUAUGCUACCACGCUGCUGCUGGUUUCGCAGUCCGGGCGGGACCAUUUUCGCCUUCACCGCCGCGGCGUCGCGUCGUCUCUCAAGUAGCGGUCGGGGGCUCGACUUCGACCCGCCCCAGGAGCGGCCGCGAGGGGCGGCGCGUCCUCGCCGUUGGCCUCACCAUCUUCAUAUUCACUGCCGCGGCAUCGCGCCGUCUCUCCGGUAGCGCUCGGGGGCUCGACGUUGACCCGCCCCCGGAGCGGCCGCGAGGGGUGGUGCGACCUCGCCGUCGGCAUCGCCUUCUUCACCACCGUUGCGACACCGGCCGUUCGUCCGCGCGCGCGCCGCGGGCGGGGCCUCGCUUCGGCCGGCCGGGGCCAUCCACUCGCCGCUCGCGUUUGCUCCUCUCCGUGCUACGCCUUGCUCUGGCCGAAACGCGCAUUAGCUUCUCCACAUGCCAUCUUUGCGAGCUAGCUAGAUACUAG
rnacentral:rRNA from 1 species